GAUGAACGCUGGCGGCGUGCCUAAUACAUGCAAGUCGAGCGAACGGACGAGAAGCUUGCUUCUCUGAUGUUAGCGGCGGACGGGUGAGUAACACGUGGAUAACCUACCUAUAAGACUGGGAUAACUUCGGGAAACCGUAGCUAAUACCGGAUAAUAUUUUGAACCGCAUGGUUCAAAAGUGAAAGACGGUCUUGCUGUCACUUAUAGAUGGAUCCGCGCUGCAUUAGCUAGUUGGUAAGGUAACGGCUUACCAAGGCAACGAUGCAUAGCCGACCUGAGAGGGUGAUCGGCCACACUGGAACGGAGACACGGUCCAGACUCCUACGGGAGGCAGCAGUAGGGAAUCUUCCGCAAUGGGCGAAAACCUGACGGAGCAACGCCGCGUGAGUGAUGAAGGUCUUCGGAUCGUAAAACUCUGUUAUUAGGGAAGAACAUAUGUGUAAGUAACUGUGCACAUCUUGACGGUACCUAAUCAGAAAGCCACGGCUAACUACGUG
rnacentral:rRNA from 1 species